UUUUGUGAAUUAGUUAAGGUUAGAGACCAUGAGUCCCACCUUAGGCAUGAAGCCAUGAAUUACUUUAGCUCAGUGGUGGGAUGCUGCCGGUUAACAACCGGUUUGACUCACAACGUCUUCAAAGCCCACAGACAAAUGAGCAGAUACUAUCAGGAGAUUUCAUGUCAAAGCAUGAUGAAUAGGAAAGACUUGGCCGAGGUACUUUGAACUUGCUCAAGUGGACCUCCUGGCCAUAAAUGUGGAACACCUGAAGUAUACUUUGGAACUGUGCUUUGUUAUGAUGGAUAUGUUCAGAAGUACACAAAAACAGUAUCUUCUUUGAAAAAUACAGAUUUUUCAUGGGGCCUGGAUAAGCAAAGCAAAGUAUAGAAUGGAAGCAAAUGCUAAUUGGAAGUUGGGAGAGAAAUUUACAUAAGGCUUGAUCACAGUCCUAAAACUACUUUGGCAAUCUGGCUAAAUCUGUGAAAUCAACAUUUUUCUGUUUUCCUCUUUUCUGUAUCUAUCCUGAUUCUACACUUGUUGGAUAUUUUCAUAUGUGCAUCUUUCCAUUACAAAACACAUCUUGUACAGUAUAUCAAAUAUAGAAAAGGAAGAGAACAGUACAGAAAAAAAUGAUGUCUGGGCAGGUA